rnacentral:rRNA from 1 species
UACGAAGGGGGCGAGCGUUGUUCGGAUUUACUGGGCGUAAAGGGCGCGUAGGCGGCGGGUCAAGUCGAGUGUGAAAGCCCCGGGCUCAACCUGGGAAUUGCGCUCGAGACUGGUCUGCUUGAGUUCGGGAGAGGUGAGUGGAACUGCGAGUGUAGAGGUGAAAUUCGUAGAUAUUCGCAAGAACACCAGUGGCGAAGGCGGCUCGCUGGCCCGAUACUGACGCUGAGGCACGAAAGCGUGGGGAGCAAACAGG